rnacentral:rRNA from 1 species
UACAGAGACUGCAAGCGUUGUUCGGAUUCACUGGGCGUAAAGGGUGCGUAGGUGGUGGGGUAAGUCUCGUGUGAAAGCUCGCAGCUUAACUGCGAAAAGUCACGGGAUACUAUUCUGCUGGAGGCUUGGAGGGGGGACUGGAAUACUUGGUGUAGCAGUGAAAUGCGUAGAUAUCAAGUGGAACACCAGUGGCGAAGGCGGCUCACUGGUCCGGUACUGACGCUGAGGUGCGAAAGCGUGGGGAGCAAACAGG